rnacentral:rRNA from 1 species
AUGUCGCCCUUGGAGGACACCUCACUUCCCUUCAAGCUUAAGAUAAAACAGUUCCCCAUCCGCCUGAGUUUUGCGAUGACCAUUAACAAGACACAGGGUCAAACCAUCCCAAAUGUCAGUAUUUACCUUCCAGAACCUGUUUUCUCACAUGGCCAACUAUAUGUUGCAUUGUCAAGGGGUGUCUCAAGAAAGAAGACACGGAUUUUAGCCAAGCCUAACAAGGAGGUUGAUAAAUCUGGGAGAAGCACCAAAAACAUUGUCUAUAGAGAUGUUUUAGAGGGGUGA